rnacentral:rRNA from 1 species
UCAGGACGAACGCUGGCGGCGUGCCUAAUACAUGCAAGUCGAACGGUCUUUCUAUGAAGCUGCUCCACUGAGAAGAUAGUGGCGAACGGGUGAGUAACACGUGGGUAACCUGCCCAUAAGAGGGGGGAUAACAUCCGGAAACGGGUGCUAAUACCGCAUAGUUUUCUUGAUCGCAUGAUUGAGAAAGGAAAGACGGCCUUUGUGCUGUCGCUUAUGGAUGGACCCGCGGCGUAUUAGUUAGUUGGUGAGGUAACGGCUCACCAAGACGAUGAUACGUAGCCGACCUGAGAGGGUGAUCGGCCACAUUGGGACUGAGACACGGCCCAAACUCCUACGGGAGGCAGCAGUAGGGAAUCUUCCGCAAUGGACGAAAGUCUGACGGAGCAACGCCGCGUGAGUGAAGAAAAGGUUUUCGGAUCGUAAAACUCUGUUGUCAGAGAAGAACAAGUUGGAGAGUAACUGCUCCAGCCUUGACGGUAUCUGACCAGAAAGCCACGGCUAACUACGUGCCAGCCGCAGC